CGAACGUGGGUAACCUGCCCAUCAGAAGGGGAUAACACUUAGGAAACAGGUGCUAAUACCGUAUAACACUUAUUUUCCGCAUGGAAGAAAGUUGAAAGGCGCUUUUGCGUCACUGAUGGAUGGACCCGCGGUGCAUUAGCUAGUUGGUGAGGUAACGGCUCACCAAGGCCACGAUGCAUAGCCGACCUGAGAGGGUGAUCGGCCACACUGGGACUGAGACACGGCCCAG
rnacentral:rRNA from 1 species